rfam:Apaloderma vittatum contig12034, whole genome shotgun sequence.
GGCUGGUUAGCUCAGUCGGUUAGAGCAUGGUGCUGAUAACACCAAGGUCACAGGUUCGAUCCCCAUGUGUUGCCU